GCUCGAGUGGCGAACGGGUGAGUAACACGUGAGUAACCUGCCCUUGACUUUGGGAUAACUUCAGGAAACUGGGGCUAAUACCGGAUAGGAGCUCCUGCUGCAUGGUGGGGGUUGGAAAGUUUCGGCGGUUGGGGAUGGACUCGCGGCUUAUCAGCUUGUUGGUGGGGUAAUGGCCUACCAAGGCGGCGACGGGUAGCCGGCCUGAGAGGGUGGACGGCCACAUUGGGACUGAGAUACGGCCCAG
rnacentral:rRNA from 1 species